CGGUGGAGCAUGUGGUUUAAUUCGAAGCAACGCGAAGAACCUUACCAGGUCUUGACAUCCCGAUGCUAUUCUAGAGAUAGAAAGUUACUUCGGUACAUCGGUGACAGGUGGUGCAUGGUUGUCGUCAGCUCGUGUCGUGAGAUGUUGGGUUAAGUCCCGCAACGAGCGCAACCCCUAUUGUUAGUUGCCAUCAUUCAGUUGGGCACUCUAGCGAGACUGCCGGUAAUAAACCGGAGGAAGGUGGGAUGACGUCAAAUCAUCAUGCCCCUUAUGACCUGGGCUACACACGUGCUACAAUGGUUGGUACAACGAGUUGCGAGUCGGUGACGGCGAGCUAAUCUCUUAAAGCCAAUCUCAGUUCGGAUUGUAGGCUGCAACUCGCCUACAUGAAGUCGGAAUCGCUAGUAAUCGCGGAUCAGCACGCCGCGGUGAAUACGUUCCCGGGCCUU
rnacentral:rRNA from 1 species